rnacentral:tRNA from 1 species
GUAAAUAUAGUUUAAUCGAAACAUUAGAUUGUGAAUCUAAUCAUACAGGUCCACAACUUCUUAUUUACU